rnacentral:misc_RNA from 1 species
GUGAAUCAUCGAAUUUUUGAACGCAAAUUGCACUCUCUUCGGAGAGUAUGCCUGUUUGAGGGUCAGCCUAAAAAAAAUCGACAUUGUUGCUGUUAUUUAAUGGUGACUUUCGUCGGAGAUUGGGUUAUCUUAAACCUUUUUUUUUUUGGUUUAAGCAACUUAAAAUUUUUCUUGGGUUUUCAUUGAACGUUUCUAAGUUUUUUUUUUCUUUUACGUUUAAGUUUUAUGGAUCUUUUAUUAGACUUGACCUU